UCUGUGGAGGCCCACAGAGUCAGCUCGCAUCCACACUGUUCCCUCUUCUUUUCUGAGAAGAGGCGCCGAUCUGCUGUGAGGAUGAGGGUCACUGGAACAGCUGGUCAGUCGGCGCCGGGAGAGCCCAGAACCCUCGCCGUCGUGAGGGAGACGUCCCAGAGCCGGUGUGCCGAGGGUGCGGCCGGACCUGCCCCGUGUGACAUCCCCACCCAUCCGCCUGCUUCGUGCUCCUGCAAAGUGCCGAGGCGGGAACUCGGGAACUUAUUCCUGAUACCAAGGAGCUACACUUCUGGUCCUAACCGCCAACUGUGAUUUAAAAAACCGAGCCCGACGCGUGUUCCUUAGUUUCCCAGAGAGGAAGCUGCCGACGAUAAAAACAAAGGCAGCCCAUCUGAUGUGUUUGAUGUAGAUCCAGUGUCCCAAGCACUAUCUCAACUCAUGGUUGAAUGCUUACAUCGGAAGAGUUACUACACUGACAGACACAUUGCUACAACUCCACCUCCGAUCCUCUCCCCCUUCAUACCACGCUCAGCCCAUCAUUGUGGCCACUUUCUGGAGCAGUUCCGAAAGUCCUCCCUCCUGAGAGUCUUUACAAAGUGUGGUCGCAGCUGCUGCCUCCGAGCGCCAUCCAGUGAAAAGCAGGCUCCUAAAGACUUGACUGCGUCUUCAUUCACCCCGCUCACCAGCGCUGGCACUGUGUGACUUCGGCUCCUCCCCAAAGUCAAGAUGGCCAUGGAAAGGAAAUAUUU